AUCCAGCUGACGAGUCCCAAAUAGGACGAAACAUGCGUCCUCGAU
rfam:Schistosoma mansoni, Puerto Rico, WGS project CABG01000000 data, contig: 0368